rnacentral:rRNA from 1 species
UACGGAGGGUGCAAGCGUUAUCCGGAUUCACUGGGUUUAAAGGGAGCGUAGGUGGAUUGGUAAGUCAGUGGUGAAAGCCCCGAGCUCAACUCGGGAAUUGCCGUUGAUACUGCCAGUCUUGAGUACGGUUGAAGUGGGCGGAAUAUGUCAUGUAGCGGUGAAAUGCUUAGAUAUGACAUAGAACACCGAUUGCGUAGGCAGCUCACUAAGCCGUAACUGACACUGAGGCUCGAAAGCGUGGGGAUCAAACAGG